rnacentral:tRNA from 1 species
CAUAAAGUGCCUGAUAAAAGGAGUAUCUUGAUGAGAUAUAUAUGAAUUAUUCCUUUAUGA